UACAGAGGGUGCGAGCGUUAAUCGGAAUUACUGGGCGCAAAGGGUGCGUAGGUGGUUUUGUAAGUUAGAUGUGAAAUUCCUGGGCUUAACCUGGGGACUGCGUCUGAUACUGCGAAGCUAGAGUACUGUAGAGGGAAGUGGAAUUUCCGGUGUAGCAGUGAAAUGCGUAGAUAUCGGAAGGAACAUCAGUGGCGAAGGCGACUUCCUGGACAGAUACUGACACUGAGGUGCGAAAGCAAGGGGAGCAAACAGG
rnacentral:rRNA from 1 species